GUCCAGGAUAGCCUAAUGGACAUGGCAUCUGCCCGGUAAGCGGAAGGUUGUGGGUUCGAUUCCCGCCCCUGGACA
rnacentral:tRNA from 1 species